rnacentral:rRNA from 1 species
GGGGAAUAGCCCGAAGAAAUUCGGAUUAAUGCUCCAUGGUUUAAUUGGAUGGCAUCAUUUGAUUAAUAAAGAUUUAUCGGUAGAAGAUGGGCAUGCGUAUCAUUAGCUAGUUGGUGUGGUAACGGCAUACCAAGGCGACGAUGAUUAGGGGUCCUGAGAGGGAGAUCCCCCACACUGGUACUGAGACACGGACCAGACUCCUACGGGAGGCAGCAGUGAGGAAUAUUGGUCAAUGGAGGCAACUCUGAACCAGCCAUGCCGCGUGCAGGAUGACGGUCCUAUGGAUUGUAAACUGCUUUUGUACAGGAAGAAACCUCGCUACGUGUAGUGAUUUGACGGUACUGUAAGAAUAAGGAUCGGCUAACUCCGUGCCAGCAGCCGCGGUAAUACGGAGGAUCCGAGCGUUAUCCGGAAUUAUUGGGUUUAAAGGGUUCGUAGGCGGUCAGAUAAGUCAGUGGUGAAAUUUCUUAGCUUAACUAAGACCCGGCCAUUGAUACUGUUUGACUUGAAUAGUAUGGAAGUAACUAGAAUAUGUAGUGUAGCGGUGAAAUGCUUAGAUAUUACAUGGAAUACCAAUUGCGAAGGCAGGUUACUACGUACUUAUUGACGCUGAUGAACGAAAGCGUGGGGAGCGAACAGGAUUAGAUACCCUGGUAGUCCACGCCGUAAACGAUGGAUACUAGCUGUUCGGUUUUCGGACUGAGUGGCUAAGCGAAAGUGAUAAGUAUCCCACCUGGGGAGUACGUUCGCAAGAAUGAAACUCAAAGGAAUUGACGGGGGCCCGCACAAGCGGUGGAGCAUGUGGUUUAAUUCGAUGAUACGCGAGGAACCUUACCAGGGCUUAAAUGUAGAUUGACAGGUUUGGAAACAGACUUUUCUUCGGACAAUUUACAAGGUGCUGCAUGGUUGUCGUCAGCUCGUGCCGUGAGGUGUCAGGUUAAGUCCUAUAACGAGCGCAACCCCUAUUGUUAGUUACCAGCGCGUUAUGGCGGGAACUCUAGCAAGACUGCCGGUGCAAACCGUGAGGAAGGUGGGGAUGACGUCAAAUCAUCACGGCCCUUACGUCCUGGGCUACACACGUGCUACAAUGGUCAGUACAGAAAGCAGCUACCUGGCGACAGGAUGCGAAUCUCAAAAGCUGAUCACAGUUC